CUCUUUCCCCUCUUGCCCCUCUCCAGCUUUUCUGGUCCAACCCUCUUCUGCGCCUAACACUGGCACCUCCUUUUCUUCCGGCUGAUGAAUAAUUGUCCGCAAACCAGCCUCUCUGGGGCACUGAGGGGCGGGAAGGUUAGAAGGAGCCAGGGCUAGAGUCCUGGAAGGUGGCAGUCAGGUCGCAGGGCCACAGCAGUCACUCUGCGACUCUCUCUUCCGGUGUUUCUCCAGCGCCAAGCGGGAGAAGACGGAGCCUGGGAGCUGGGACUGGAGGAGCGGGAAGCGCAGUAUCGGGACCACGGCUCUGGGACCAGGAAAAACGCAGACUCUCCAGAGUCAAUGUCUACUUCAGCCAGCUCAAGGGCGCGACAACCUGGCGCCGAGCAUCUCAGGCCGCCGCGGGGACCCCCCCUAAGGGACUCGGGAACACCUGCCUACCCUAGAAGAGGCGGAGAAUAACCCCGUAGGGAGUUAAGCGGCCUCUGCCUACAGCGUUCCUCCCGCCUCCACGGCGCCGAGCCCUGAUUGACGUUCAGCCAGGCCAAUCAUAGCCUGUGUCUGAGGCGCGCGGAGCUGGAGCGCCCAGGGCAUGUCCGCCGAUCCCAAGGAGGCAAUCUGUCAGGCGCCGCCCGGGCGGCAGUAUGCCUGAGGGGGUCCUCCGUGUUCGCGCCUCCCGCCGCCUGCACUGAAAGGUCUGUACCUGAGCCUGGAUACUUGAACAGAGGCAGACACUGCGGCUCAAAACCCCAAGGAAUAUCCUAGCUCUGAGACAAAAAUUGGGAACCUCAGCAUGAGUUUGUCACCUGAAUGAAAUAAAAAAAAUCACGUUGAAGGCUGGUGCAGUAACAUGUGCCUGUAGUCCCAGCUACUCUGGAGGCUGAGUCAGGAGGAUCACUUGAGACCAGAAGUUCAGGAAUUCAAGACUGGCUUGAGCAACAUAGCAAGACUUCAUUUCAAAACAAACAGAAAAAAGCCACCACCUUCAGUAUUUCUUGCCAAAGCAAAGGAGCCAUUUGUUCUUUACGAUGGUCAGGAAAGGAAGCAUCAAGGUCAUCAAAUGAAAAAUUUUCAGCAUUUCAGCCUCUCUGCUCAGGGAAAUAUCUGAAUCUAGAAUAUCACAACAUGAGCCAAAACCGCCCCAUUUCUCAUGCCACAUGUCACUCUUAACACAAGGUUACUCAACCUCGAGCAUGGUUGGCAUUUGGGGCUGAAUAAUUCUUUUUUGUAGGGGGCUGUCCUGGGCAUUGUAGGAUGCUCAUGAGCUACCUCAGUCUCUACCACCCACUAGAUGCCAGUAGCAUUGACCCCUGAUCUCUCUACCCAAGUUGUGACAACUAAAACCAUCUCUGGAUAAUGGAGGAACCUUAAAUGCAUAUUGCUAAGGAAAAGCCAAUCUGAAAGGAUUACAUAUUGUAUGAGUCCAACUAUAUGGUAAUCUGGAAAAGGCAAAACCAUGGAGACAGUGAAAAGGUAGUGGUUACCAGUGGUCCAUGGGAAGGGUUGGAUGAAUAGGUGGAGCACAGAGGAUUUUUAAGGCAGUGAAACUAUUCUGAAUGAUACUGUAAUGGUGGAUACAUGUCAUACCUUUGUCAAAACCAAUAAAAUAUAACAACCAAUAAAACUGCACAAAGAGUGAACCCUAAUGUAAACUAUGGACUUAAUAAUGUAUCAAUAUUGGCGCACCAAUUUUAACAAAUGUACCACACUAAUGCAAGAUGUUACUAAUAGUGGAAACUGGAGGGAAGAGGGCUUGAGGGGACAUACGGGAACUCUCUGUAAUUCCUGUUCAGUUUUUCUGUAACUGUUAAACUGUCCAAAAAAAGUCUGUUUUUAUAAAUGGAGGCAUGGUUUUAUAUGGACUAAAAUACUAUGAUUGCCUUUUUAUUUUACACAUGGUGAAAUUAGAGCAGGACAUAUUUUAAACUCAAAAUUCACAAAAUUAAUUUAUGAAAAUGUUUACCCAGAUCAAGAAUAUUAAAGAAACUUAGAUUAAUAUUGUUACCUUGAAUUUAUUUUACUGAGUAAUCCUCUAAGACUCCUCUACACAUUAUUAAUCUAGAAGGAUUUUUAAAGUCUUUAUGACAAUUAAUUAUUGGUCUACAGUCAAAUUGCGUAUCCCCAUUAACUAGAGUUAUAUUUUUCCAUUUUCUGAUCCAAAAACUUUAGGAACAGGAAAUGUUUAUUUUAGAAAACAAGAACACUUCUUAAGCAUUUGCUGUUAACAGUUAUUUUCACAUGUGCUUGUACUUAUUUUACACUUGUCAGAACAUAGUAUUUACCUUUGAACCAAGGUUUUAUAAUAAGCAAGCACUUUUUUUAUUUAGAAGUCACAUUUUCCAAGUAGAAAAAUCAUUAAAAAUUCAGUCCUCUGAAGGCUAAUUUCUUUAAAUCAUUUAACCUAAUUGUUUAAGGUAUAGAUUGGAAUUUUUCUCAGCACUCUCUUGAAAACAGGUGACAGUGGAACCCUGUUAGGUUCACAAAUCCUAGACUUUGAUUAUAUAGCCCAGGCUCAAAUUUUUCUCGAAUGUUACGAACAUUCAAAGCAUUAGGAGUCUUGGUUUCAUUUCUUAAUUUUUUUUCUUCUGGGUAUAUUUGAGACUCAUCUUGGAUUCAAAUAAAUUAAUAAUAGUCUCAUGAAACCGAUAAAAAUGGGAGCUCCAUUGAACAUGAGAGACAUUGAUUCGUAGUUUCUAACAUCCUCCAAAUGAGGAGCCCAUCCCUAAUUUAGAUGCUUCUUUCAAAGGAGGCUCCUUUCCUUCGUUAUCCAUAAUAUAGUCACACCAGUCCUGAAAAAACAUGGAACAGACUCCAGAUCUUUAUAUUUCAUACUCUAAAGUCGUACAAGCCAAUCUGCAUUUCCUCUAGUGGAAACUGUAUAGCUGGUCAUCUUUCCAGGACCCUUUUAUCAAGAAACAAUGCAGCUUCUACAUUUGUGCUGCUUCUACACCAAAACAGCUGGAAUGUAUAUAGUAUGGUUCUGGAUGCUCUUGUAUACCUCACUCUUCAUUUCUCACCUAACCCAUGUGCUAUGAUUUGAAUGUUUCUCCCCUGCAAAACUCAUGUUGAAAUGUAAUUGCCAUGAUAACAGUAUUAAUAGGUGGAAUAUUUAAGAGGUGAUUAGGGUGGGAUUGGUGAUGUUAUAAAAGGGUAAGUUCAGCCCCUUCUUGCUCUCUCUGUCACCCUUCCACCUUCCUCUGUGUGAUGAUGCAACAAAAAAGCCCUUCCCAGAUGCCAGCAUCUUGAUUUUGGACUUCUCAGCCUACAGAACUAUAAGCCAAUAAAUUUCUGUUAUUUGUUAUUAGUCUGUGAUAUUCUGUUACAGUAGCACAAAAUGGACUAUGACACCAUGUGUUUACACAGAAAGAAAAAAAUAUCAUACGGUAAUUGCUCCUAAAUAUGCAGAGAAUAUGUUCUGAUAUCCUUAGUGGAUGCCUGAAACUGCAGAUAGUACCAAACCUUAUAUAUACUAUGUUUUUUUUCCCAUACAUAUGCAUGUUAAAGUUUAUAAGUUAGGCAGAGUAAGAUAUGAACAAUAACUAAUAAUGAAAUAGAAACGUAACGAUGUGCUGUAAUAAAAGUUAUGUGACUGAC
rnacentral:lncRNA from 1 species